UUCCUGGAGAGCUAUACAAACUGGGUCAUGCUUUUGGAUGAUCAGCUUUAGUUCAUUCAAAUUAUGAGCUAGUCCUCGACAAUUCCACUGGAUAAUAUUUGUUUUAUCCAUUGUAAUUUCAAGAUAGGGACAAUCACAGUUGAACAAAUAACAUAUAACAGUUACGUAUCACAGAGAUUAUCACAGAUCAGUUGGUGCAAGCCCCUUUCGAACUGUCCGCCGAUGAACGGGGCAGUCUCGGCUUGCCUUUGGGCCAUCCCUUCUUUUUCUUUCCCUGCUUAGCUUCUGCCACCGUCUCCUCAUCUAGAGAUGUAAUACUCGACUCUCUGGACCGAACUCGAGGCAGCGAUGUUUUCCGCUUUGCUCCUCGUGUUUCGGUCUCCAUAUCUGCUUCGGAAGUACAAGUUGAUUCAAUCACCAUAUUGGAAUUUCUCGUCACCGGCUUAGUUGCAGGCUUUCCGAAGACAGCUCGAGGAUAUUGUUCAAUUUUAGCGGGCCAAUAUUUUUAACAGGUUCGGGAGCCGUAACCGGUCUGGACGCCACCUGUGCAUAGGAGGAAGUGGGAGCUGUUGGAGUGCCCACUUUCUUUUUAGCUUCUGGGUAAGACAGUCUCUGCACUACUUUGACUUCUUGGAUUUUCAUUUCUAAUUUGAAAACCGGACAUGUUUUAGUGACCGCCUUAUGCGGCCCUUUGCAAUUCGGGCAUUCAAUUGGUUCUUCACAAGCAGUGCCCUCAUGUGCAGGUUUCCCACAUACACACCUCCUUUCGUAUUUA